GGGUUGUGAGGUUAAGCGACUAAGCGUACACGGUGGAUGCCCUGGCAGUCAGAGGCGAUGAAGGACGUGCUAAUCUGCGAUAAGCGUCGGUGAGGUGAUAUGAACCGUUAUAACCGGCGAUUUCCGAAUGGGGAAACCCAGUGUGUUUCGACACACUAUCAUUAACUGAAUCCAUAGGUUAAUGAGGCGAACCGGGGGAACUGAAACAUCUAAGUACCCCGAGGAAAAGAAAUCAACCGAGAUUCCCCCAGUAGCGGCGAGCGAACGGGGAGGAGCCCAGAGCCUGAAUCAGUGUGUGUGUUAGUGGAAGCGUCUGGAAAGGCGUGCGAUACAGGGUGACAGCCCCGUACACAAAAAUGCACAUAUUGUGAGCUCGAUGAGUAGGGCGGGACACGUGGUAUCCUGUCUGAAUAUGGGGGGACCAUCCUCCAAGGCUAAAUACUCCUGACUGACCGAUAGUGAACCAGUACCGUGAGGGAAAGGCGAAAAGAACCCCGGCGAGGGGAGUGAAAAAGAACCUGAAACCGUGUACGUACAAGCAGUGGGAGCCUCUUAAUGGGGUGACUGCGUACCUUUUGUAUAAUGGGUCAGCGACUUAUAUUCUGUAGCAAGGUUAACCGAAUAGGGGAGCCGAAGGGAAACCGAGUCUUAACUGGGCGUUAAGUUGCAGGGUAUAGACCCGAAACCCGGUGAUCUAGCCAUGGGCAGGUUGAAGGUUGGGUAACACUAACUGGAGGACCGAACCGACUAAUGUUGAAAAAUUAGCGGAUGACUUGUGGCUGGGGGUGAAAGGCCAAUCAAACCGGGAGAUAGCUGGUUCUCCCCGAAAGCUAUUUAGGUAGCGCCUCGUGAAUUCAUCUCCGGGGGUAGAGCACUGUUUCGGCAAGGGGGUCAUCCCGACUUACCAACCCGAUGCAAACUGCGAAUACCGGAGAAUGUUAUCACGGGAGACACACGGCGGGUGCUAACGUCCGUCGUGAAGAGGGAAACAACCCAGACCGCCAGCUAAGGUCCCAAAGUCAUGGUUAAGUGGGAAACGAUGUGGGAAGGCCCAGACAGCCAGGAUGUUGGCUUAGAAGCAGCCAUCAUUUAAAGAAAGCGUAAUAGCUCACUGGUCGAGUCGGCCUGCGCGGAAGAUGUAACGGGGCUAAACCAUGCACCGAAGCUGCGGCAGCGACACUAUGUGUUGUUGGGUAGGGGAGCGUUCUGUAAGCCUGUGAAGGUGGCCUGUGAGGGUUGCUGGAGGUAUCAGAAGUGCGAAUGCUGACAUAAGUAACGAUAAAGCGGGUGAAAAGCCCGCUCGCCGGAAGACCAAGGGUUCCUGUCCAACGUUAA
rnacentral:rRNA from 1 species